GAUGAACGCUGGCGGCGUGCCUAAUACAUGCAAGUCGAGCGAACAGACGAGGAGCUUGCUCCUCUGACGUUAGCGGCGGACGGGUGAGUAACACGUGGAUAACCUACCUAUAAGACUGGGAUAACUUCGGGAAAACGGAGCUAAUACCGGAUAAUAUAUUGAACCGCAUGGUUCAAUAGUGAAAGACGGUUUUGCUGUCACUAAUAGAUGGAUCCGCGCCGCAUUAGCUAGUUGGUAAGGUAACGGCCUACCAAGGCGACGAUGCGUAGCCGACCUGAGAGGGUGAUCCGCCACACUGGAACUGAGACACGGUCCAGACUCCUACGGGAGGCAGCAGUAGGGAAUCUUCCGCAAUGGGCGAAAGCUUGACGGAGCCACGCCGCGUGGGUGAUGAAGGUCUUCGGAUCGUAAAGCUCUGUUAUUGGGGAAGAACAAAUGUGUAAUUAACUAUGCACGUCUUGACGGUACCUAAUCAGAAAGCCACGGCUAACUUCGUG
rnacentral:rRNA from 1 species